AACUUUUAACGGCUGAUGAGAGAUUUUGAGGUGAUACUGUCGCUUUAAGGACUUCCCACGGAGCGAGACGUCGUGCAGCGCUCUCAGGCGCCGUCGUCAGCCUGUUUCAAGCUGAAAACCUAGAGGAGCCUCACAGCUUUGUAAAGAUUGUUUUCAUUGAUUUCAGCAGCGCAUUCAACACCAUCCAACCCCACCUACUGGUAGACAAACUGGUUAAGUUAGGUGUUAACCCAAGACUCAUUACAUGGAUUAAUAGCUUCCUGUUAAAUCGUACUCAGCAGGAUAGAUUUAAUCAGGCCAUCUCAUCUGCUAAGGUCAUUAACACGUCACACACAUUUCCUAAGAAAAUUGCAUAGUUUUAGUGUUGACACCUACAUUUUAGAGUUAUAUAAGAAGUCUGUACUUCAGAGUGUCUUGUCCUUUGGUCUGGUCUGUGUCUUUGGUAGUAUGCGUAAACAAGAUCAGGAUAUAUUGCAACGUAUUAUUAAAACAGCUAGUAGGAUAAUUGGGUGCAAUCCAACAUCAGCUGCUCAGCUGUUUCAAGAUAUCAUACUACACAAGGCUGAAAGUAUUCUUGCAGACAGUACCCACCCUUUACAUAAGAGAUUUCAGUUAAGCCAACGUGGUAAGGGGAGGCUACUACAAAGGAAAAUAAGGACAACCAGGUUCAGCAAGUCAUUUGUUCCCUCUACAAUUAGAAUUGUUAAUGAAAGACACAGUUCUCAGCAGAGGACUUGACACUGUAGUACUGUGUGUGUGUGUGUGUGUGUGUGUGUGGUACUGCAUAGUUAAUUGCUGUCAGACAGCCAAGGCUGUGUGUGUGACAAAGAGAUAAGGGUGCUUGCGGGUUACUGAGGCAUCUUUGGUAUUAAUCAUAGUUUGGGAGCUAUUUGGCCUCAAAACAUUCUUAAAGUGGAAA